GUACACUCCUACGGGAGGCAGCAGUGGGGAAUUUUGGACAAUGGGCGAAAGCCUGAUCCAGCAAUGCCGCGUGAGUGAAGAAGGCCUUCGGGUUGUAAAGCUCUUUUGUCAGGGAAGAAACGGUGAAAGCUAAUAUCUUUUGCUAAUGACGGUACCUGAAGAAUAAGCACCGGCUAACUACGUGCCAGCAGCCGCGGUAAUACGUAGGGUGCAAGCGUUAAUCGGAAUUACUGGGCGUAAAGCGUGCGCAGGCGGUUUUGUAAGUCUGAUGUGAAAUCCCCGGGCUCAACCUGGGAAUUGCAUUGGAGACUGCAAGGCUAGAAUCUGGCAGAGGGGGGUAGAAUUCCACGUGUAGCAGUGAAAUGCGUAGAUAUGUGGAGGAACACCGAUGGCGAAGGCAGCCCCCUGGGUCAAGAUUGACGCUCAUGCACGAAAGCGUGGGGAGCAAACAGGAUUAGAUACCCCAGUAGUCCCAUG
rnacentral:rRNA from 1 species